ensembl:snRNA U6 U6 spliceosomal RNA
GUGCUCACUUCGGCAGCACAUAUACUAAAAUUGGAGCAAUACAGAGAAGAUUAGCAUAGCCCCUGCACAAGGAUGACACACAAAUUUGUAAAGUGUUCCAUAUUUAA